GAUGAACGCUGGCGGCGUGCCUAAUACAUGCAAGUCGAGCGAACAGACGAGGAGCUUGCUCCUCUGACGUUAGCGGCGGACGGGUGAGUAACACGUGGAUAACCUACCUAUAAGACUGGGAUAACUUCGGGAAACCGGAGCUAAUACCGGAUAAUAUAUUGAACCGCAUGGUUCAAUAGUGAAAGACGGUUUUGCUGUCACUUAUAGAUGGAUCCGCGCCGCAUUAGCUAGUUGGUAAGGUAACGGCUUACCAAGGCAACGAUGCGUAGCCGACCUGAGAGGGUGAUCGCCAAGAGGGGAAGUGAGACAGGGACCAGACGCCGAGGGGGGGAAGGAGGAGGGAGUGUUCAGAAAGGGAAGAAGGCAGGAAGGAGAAAAGCAGCGUGAGGAAGAAAGGUGUAAGGACCGAAAAACUAUGUAAGAAGGAAAAAAAAAAUAAAAAAAAAACAAGGCAGGUAGUGAGGGUACUAAAUAAGAAACCCAGGGCAAAAAGCGGG
rnacentral:rRNA from 1 species